rnacentral:sRNA from 1 species
GCCAGGUGCAGUGGCACACACCUGUAAUCCCAGCGGCUCAGGAGGCUGGGACAGGAGGAUUGUGAGUUCAAAGCCAGCCUCAGCAAUAGUGAGGUGCUAAGCAACUCAGUGAGACCCUGUCUCUA